GGAGGGUGCAAGCGCUGUUCGGAAUUACUGGGCGUAAAGGGCGCGUAGGCGGCCUGCUAAGUCAGAUGUGAAAGUCCACGGCUCAACCGUGGAAGUGCAUUUGAAACUGUCAGGCUUGAGUAUCGGAGGGGAAAGUGGAAUUCCCGGUGUAGAGGUGAAAUUCGUAGAGAUCGGGAGGAACACCGGUGGCGAAGGCGACUUUCUGGACGAAUACUGACGCUGAGGCGCGAAAGCGUGGGGAGCAAACAGGGAUUAGAUACCCUGGUAGUCCACGCCGUAAACGAUGUGAACUAGGGAUAGGGGGUGUUGAUCCCUCCUGUCCCCCCGGAGCUAACGCAUUAAGUUCACCGCCUGGGGGAGUACGGUCGCAAGAUUA
rnacentral:rRNA from 1 species